UAUAAAUCCCAGCGCAGAGAUCCACCAAGCUCAUUGUGAGAAAGCCCUGUUUCUUGGGAUAGCAUCAUGCAAUGAUACAGGUCCCUAUGAAGUUAUGCACAAUGCAAUUGAAGAGGCAUGUUAUGUCAGGCAAGAAAGAAGCUGAAGAGCUAUACUGCCUUGAGGAAGAAAGCGUAUCUACUGUGAAUUACAGACAGGAAAGAGGAUAUUCUCAGAACCCCUUGGAAUGGCACAGGCACUGUGGAGCAGGAGCUCACUGAAGUAGUACAUCUGCCACAAUCACAGUGAGGCAUCAAGAAAGUUCUACAAGCAAAAAUCAAAUGGGAAGAAUAAUCAGAGGAGCAUCCGUCAGAUCUUCCUCCCCCUGCCCCUCCACACUGAAAAAAAAAAGGAUGCAAGAAAGCAUAAUUCUGAAGAGCACUGCUGAAUACAAUCCAGGUCAGAAACUUCACACACCUGAACUAUUCCUUGCAGCCUCCUGGAAAAGUCAUUCAAGUCACCAUCACCACAACAGCUGGAGAAAUAGAUGCUUCAAGAUGGUUCAUCUUGAGAUGAAACCAUCUUAAAGACAGUGUCUAAACUUUGCCCUGUUACACAGCUGGAAGAACUGACUAUUCCCAUGUAGGACAAUUAAUUUAUUAAGAUUUUCACCAGUUUGAACCUGACUCAUCAACAUGAUCAACUUGCAUUGAUCACUAACAAUUUUAAGUUACAUCCAAGUAUAGUUCAGGUGGAGGUUGAAAUAAAACUGUGAGGCACAUAGUUACCGCAACUAAAAUGUAUUCCUCAAAUCCAGUAUCUGAAGUACAAAAAGUUUAAAGUGACUUCUCCCCCACACAGACAUGUUCCUCUUUGUCAGAAACAGCAAUGCCACAAGUCCACCCUCAAACACUGCUUAGACUAUCCUGCCUUUUUCCUCUACCACCACAGUGUUCUGCUGGCUGCUCUUAAACUUGCAGAUGAAUGGGCACAGAUAACGCGAUACUUAUCUCAUAGGCAGGAGUUCUAGCAAGCUGCUUUUCAGUGCCCAAAACAAACAGUCCUCUGUGGAUUGGUCAGCGGGACACUAUGGAGUAGAAAGCUAGUUUGCACCUUCCCUGUGUCCCAGUAUACCAAGGUUUAAGCUUCACUGAUUACAGUAUAGAGGCCUUAAUCAAGAUUUUUCAUGCCUCAGAGAACAGUACAGCUGCUAAACUUUCUUUAAUAAGUGUUUUAUAGUGGGGAAAUUGAACUAGGAAUUAGCUGAAAAGAAAUGACUCGUUUCUGCCCUAAUUAAGCAGCAGUUUAUUGUAACUCAAGCACUAAUGUUGUUUUGCUCUAACAUGAAAAAGAUGUUGGUAUAAGGGUUUGAUCAAAGUCACUGACUCUGUUCCAGUUGAUGGCUGCACUGUCUCUUGCAGCUUGCUUCAAAUUUAAGAAGCCAAACACACUGUUAGAAUUCUGAGAAGACUCCUACAUUCCUUAUUCCCCAUCAAGUAAAGCAGAUACAGCCAUCUGACUGCGUCAGAGUUACUGACACCAGUCCUUAUAAAGUCACCUUGAGAUUUCACGGCUAUUGUAUUUUAAAUGAAAUUAAUCUCCUAUUACCUGAAAAGCUCAUGUUGGCAAUGUCAACAGAAUACUCUUUUACAGGAGACACAAGUGUAACACAAGCAAUGGAACAUGGCCACACUGUGGAAUUUCAGUAGAGGAAUAUAGCAAAUUAUCCACCUGAGUAUGUUUUACUUUGCAGACCAGUUUUAUAGAAGUAGGUUAUCUUUUAUUAAGGUCAAAUACAUUUCUUAAGGGACACAUGCCUUGUCCCACCUCUAUAUCCUUAAAGGAAUGGGCAUACGAUAAGCAUGACUUAGCAUUUCAGUAGCACUGUGCUCAUACUGGCGGCUGCCCAAUUAGCCUGUCUAGUCACAUCCAUUUCCAAAGCACUACACAGAUAAUGUUUUUCAAAAAAGUGCUAGUUUUGCUAGUUUUUUAUUUUAAUUAAAGCUUUCAGAUACACACACCUGAACUUUAUUGAGAGUGUGCUGUACAGCAGAGUGUACAGCAUAUCAAAUGCUGUACUCAGAAUUCAGCAGCAGGUAUAUUUCUCCCUGACCCAGUACUGCAUGGCUCACUGCCAUGCAUGGUUCUAUGGCACUCUGCUUCUGAAAGCUUCAUUAUUAUUAUUCUUCAUACCAUGAAUUCCUAUGAUGUAGAACCUGGGAGUCACAUUUAUGGAACACGAUGCCACUGUAUACAACACUGCAGAAAACCAAGAAAUUCCAGACCAAAACACCUUGGAUUAAAAUAAAUAUUUCUGUAAGGCUAAUGUACUCAUUUACUGUGGUCAGCCUAACAAUUUUCUUAGUGACCGGCUCAAAGCUUCCAUUCAUACCCCUAAAUCUUAUGUUACAAAAUCAGCCUAUGCUGAAAGUAUAUAAAUCUUCCUUUUGCAAACUGUUUAUUAACAUGAUUAGUCCUGUUAGUAGGAUCUAUUAUUAAUGAGUAUUGUGUUGAAAAGCCAGUUCCCUAACAGACCUUCUACUGGACAUGAUUGUUUAAAGUCUAGAAAUGAGAGCAAAAAGGCUGUUUUUUUAUUCAGCAUGAAAUCAUCUUCAUUUGUGUUCCUGGAAAAGGAGUAAAAUGCUGGAGACUGACCAUCUCUGCUGCCAGGCUUCCAUAAAGUGCUAUCUUUAUAUGCUGACCUGCAGAAAUGUAUUACAGAAAAAUAUUUCUGCUUUCAUUGCUGCAUUUACUGUAAAUUUGCAUUCUUCCAGGAAAAUUCUGACAGAUAAAUUUAACAUUGCAGAUCUGACUUCAAGCAAAUCUCUUAGCUAUUAGUGGUUCCAUGAAUCUUUUUCUGAAAGAAGAACGCAGCUGAAUUUGAUGCCAGGGCUGCAGACACAGAAACAGAGAGCAAUGCAAAAUCCUGUAAAAACACGGAAAAGAUUUCCCUCCCAUAACAUCCAGAAGGUAUCACUUUGCAAUCUUUAUUAGGCAGUCCCUGCUCCUGAGCUCACCACAGAAGCAGUGCCCAAGACGUUCCUUCCCUACCACGGCUCCUAUUUCCAUUAGUCAUAGUGCCAUCACUCACACUGGGUGCCAACAGCACUUCGUCUUCUCUGCAAAGCUUAACUGUGUGUUACCGGAUUUACUCAAUUCUGACCAAUAAGCAGUAUCUCAAUUAUCCUGUAUUUUGUUACAUACCAUAAACAUUCCAUUAAAAAUAGCCCAAAUUCUUUGUUAUUAUUUAGCGAUGAAGGCCCAGGUUUCGUUGCCAGGCACAGGCUAAAUGGCACAGUCGAUAGGACCCUUCAGAACAUUUCCCGAAAAAACAUGCUAUUUACAGACAUUAAAAGUUAAACCAAACAUUCUUAGCAAACCAUUCAUUUAUUUUCUAUUGUCUGUUUUAUCCCAUUUCCUUAUUAUCAAGCCUUUGUCUCCUGUGCAAGUCUAUCUUGCCAUACCAAAGAGGAAGCACUGUUGAGAAUGCCCAUCUCCACACAGAUAAGGAAGCAGAUUUACAUCCAAGGAACAAUUAACACACAUGAAAAGUCACCAUGUUUUGAAUAGGGCAGAAUAGCCAGUAACUUUGAAGUGUGAGGUCUGGUAGAUUGAAGCUAAUGUUUAAAAUGGAGAAAGCAUCUUGUAUCACCAUCCUAUCCACUCAUAUACUACUGAUAAUUGUGCUUAGAUUUAGAGAAAAUCCUUUUUCACUGGCUUUCAAAUAGCCACUGAAUAAGUGACAUCAGUAGUACAAUAUGGAUUUCAUAAUAACACACUGACAGUAAAAAAAAGGCUGUCAAGCACAUUCCUGAAAGUGCAUUGCUAUUUUCCUAACUUGACUGCUGCACUGUCUCUUAUAUUCCUUCCCUUCUAAAAGUCUUAGACCUGAAAGCUCAAAAUGCUGCUUAUUCGCUGGUUUUCAUGUAACGACUAUACUGAUGAGUCAGAAACAUUGUUACUAACAUCUCAUUUAGUUUCACCUGCUGAAAAUGGAAAACAGCCAAAAUAAAAAAGCAAUUGGAAGAAUAUUGAUGAGCAAUAAACUUCUCUUAUUUCACUACAAAAUUCUUGAAAUUCCAUCCUUCCGAUUGCUCACAAACCCAGAUGAGUACACACACACAAUGACACACAAGUUCAGCCUCUGUUUACAUGCUUGCAGAUGAGUUCAGUACUACAUGAUCUUUAUCAGUGUUACUACAAAAUGCCUUUACAGACAUGUCUAUGACACUUCAUAGAAUCACGGAAUCAUAGAAUCACUCAGGUUGGAAAAGACCUCAAAGAUCAUCGAGUCCAACCACAACCUAAACAUAGUACCCUAACUAACAACCCUCUGCUAAAUCAUGUCCCCGAACACCACAUCCAAACAGUUUUUAAACACAUCCAGGGAUGGUGACUCAACCACUGCCCUGGGGAGCCCAUUCCAGUGCUUAACAACCCUUUCUGUAAAGAAGUUCUUCCUGAUGUCCAACCUAAACUUCCCCUGGCGCAACUUGAGGCCAUUUCCCCUCAUUCUGUCACCUGUCAGCAGUGAGAAGAGACCAACCCCACUCUCACUGUAAGCACCUUUUGGGUAUUUGAAGAGAGCAAUAAGGUCUCCCCUCAGCCUCCUUUUCCCCAGACUACACAGCCCCAGUUUUCUCAGCCUCUCCUCAUAGGGCAUAGUCUUCAAGCGCUUCACCCCUUCACAAGCCUUGUUGCCCUUCUUUGGACCUGCUCCAACACCUCAAUGUCCUUUGCCCAAAACUGAACACAGUACUCGAGGUGAGGCCUCACCAGUGCCGAGUACAGGGGCAGGAUUACUUCCCUACUCCUGCUCACCACACCACUCCUGAUACAAGCCAGGAUGCCACUGGCCUUCCUGGCCACCUGAGCACACUGUUGGCUCACAUUCAGCUGACUGUCCAUCAGUACACCGAGGUCCCUUUCCAUCAAGCAGCUUUCCAGCUACUCAUUCCCAAGCAUGUAGGGUAGCCUGGGGUUGUUGAGUCCAAAAUGGAGGACCCGACAAUUGGCCCUAUUGAAACUCACACAGUCUGUCUUCACCCAUCGAUGCAGUCUACCCAGGUCCCUUUGUUGUGCCCUUCUCCCCUCAGGAAGAUCAACACUCCCUCCCAGCUUGGUGUCGUCCACAAACUUCAGAAGCAGUUGAAAUGGAUUUGGGGUUGCCAGCAGGUUUAUCUUUUUUACCACCAAAUAACAGAGCAGACAGUAUACCCUUGGUAUUUUUCACAGUCUGACAUUUUUUUCAAAAGUACCAAUUUGUAAAGCGAAGAUAUAAACCAGAUUCAUCUGACUUUUUCAUCCCUCUAAAACAACUGCACUCUUUCCUUGGGGUAUACCUGAAAGCUUGAAAUUGAAAUAACGCAUAUCUCACAGGGAAACACAAAUUGUAUGAUAAAAUACACCCAAAAUAUCUCUGGGUAUCCUCACUUUAAUAUAAUUCUUGUACAUAGAAAAUGAAAAUCUUUCACCUUCCCUCACCUGUCUUCAAUAAUAAAUGCUGCGCACACAUCAAUAUCAGUAUAUCAUGUAUUGCUUCAGGUACACCACUCAGAUGAAUACAUAUUUCUCACUCUAAGUAGAGAACUGACUUCAGAGAAAACAAAAAAUCCAGCUCUUACACUCUGCAGUUUAGGGGACAUUGUUAGUAAGUGGAGGUUGGACAGAAGCAGGGCCUGACGGGAUUCCACACAGGCACAGUGCAAACCGGGCCCUGGUGACUCCGCAUGCCCAGCUCCAGGCAGACCUGGCUGCUGCACGUUGACCAGCUCUGCGCUGAGCGAGCAGCCAGAUGUGUGUCAGCCCCACUUCUGGCUCCCACUUCCUGUGUUUCAAAAAAGUUUCAUUCAUCUCUAAUGAGUAGAGACUGAAACUGACAAAAUAUUUCACAUUUCCAAUGCCUCAUAAAACUUCAAACUUCUUACAAACUGCUUUCAAUUUCACUCAGUAUUUUCCUGUAUUUUUAUCAUUCUACAUCAAACACUAUGAUUCAUCCUCCACUUCAAUGACAAAUAGAAGCUUAAGGGGAAGAUAACAUCUUUUCCUGUGAAAGUAUCUGUUAUUUCCUGUCCUGAAUAACAAGGUUUCUAAAGAUUAAAUGAACUUUUGGAAAAAGCACAGCAAGUUCAUAAAAAGCCCUUAAUCUGAAUGCUAUAGGAAGCCAAAUUACAAAGUUUUUUUUCCACAUUUCAGACAUACUGAAUUAGAUACAAACAAUAUCAUUCAUAAUGCGCCUAUUUUCACAUCGGAGAAAAUGACAGAUACUAAAGGCAAAUGUCCCAACUCAGACAAAUCAAAAUACCAAAUACUGUACCAUUUAAUGAGCCAAUUGGUUUCAGAGGUGUGGGACAACCUGUAGCUUGUUCUGCCUACCAAGAUGCAGGUUUCUUCUGUCUAAAACCGAUGCUGUUCAUUAUGCUGUAAACAAGAGAAAGAAGAGCCUGAAGAGGUCAGUAGGAGAAGCAAGCAUUAUCAAGGCUGAUGGGAAAGUUAAAAGAAUUUUCUCCCACCAUCUUGUUUAAGAUCUAACUGUUCUAAUAACAGGACUGAAAUCAAGUUUAGUCAUUUUGUUCUUGACAUGAAACCCUACGAUUUCAUCUUUAUAAAGAUGCUUCAAACAGAAAAGAAAGUAGCUGCCAAAAGACAAUUCUGAAAGAUCCCCAUGAGGGGGAAAAAGCCCACCUGUCCAAUCUCUUGGCAUUUAUUAUCAAAACUCCUGACAAGAAAUGAACUAAUUGUUCCAUUAUAUUGCAUAAGUUUCUAAUACAAAUCCAUAAAUAUUAAUUCACGUAAGAAACUUCUUGGCAGCUAUUUUGAGUUAAGGACAACUGAUUUAUUUCCAGAUCAACGGCACAGUUUUCUAGGUAACCAUAUUUAAAAAUCAUAACUUUCCUCAAAAGUGCUCCUAAAUGUUAUCAUUGUGAGUAGAUCACCUAUCAAGUUAAGAAAGAUAGGAAAAGGUAGAUUUAUUCAGAACAACCUAGAAAGAAAUAUGGAAAGAUUUUAUUCAAAGUUCUUAAUUAUCUUGCAACAACACUGGUUGUUAGAAUACAGAGACAAAAGUACUCCUGCAGGCAGCACUAGAUGGUUUUUGCUUCCCAAAAUUUAGUACAUCUACAGAAACGUAAGUGUAAGUGAUCACAGAACGUAUGGGUCUCAACUAUGAUUAAUCUACAGCAGCAAUUACAAGGAAGUUCACAUUGCUUAUUAUUUUUGACCCUGUUUCUCUUUUUUCUGCUCUUCUUAGAAAUGUCAUUUUAAAAUUACAUCUCUGUGUGAAAGCACUGAACUUGUACUGUGUUCUCCUAUCUUUAUUCUUUCCCACAGUGCACCAGUUUUUAUUUCUGAUGAGUACUUAAAUCAUGUUUCUGUUUGCUCUAUCAACCACUUUCUCUGGCUGUAAGCACAGUGAAACCUCUGAUCCUCACAGGGAGUAACCAUUGAACCUGUCAGGGUUAAUGGUAUUAUGGGUUGCAGGUUUUACUCCACACUCUCCAAAAGGCAGGAGGAGAGUCCUGUAGCCUGACCUCCAUAGCUGUGCUGCUUGCCAGAGAGGGUAGGAGGAGGAAUGGCUAAGGGAGCCAGGCACGCUUCUUUGUUUUCAGUAAACAUUGCCUGGAAAAUGGGCCUGCAUUAUAGCACAGAUUACAGACCAAGAUAGAUAGCGGUUGGCUGUGCUAGAGAAGCUCUCUGAGAGGAAUGACAGAGUUGGCCUCAGGAGGAACGUGCCAGAGAAUCAAGCAGCAGUUGGUGCACACCGGUCUUGGUGUGGUAGCUGAAGGGUGUAGCAAGAAUAGACAAAUUAAUUACAUCCUCUGCUACCACUCCAACUGUGCUUAUUGCUUUUCUGCACAGCUGAGAAUGCAUCAAAGGCUCAGUCUUUGUAUUGUCAGCUACCCCCUAAAAAUGAUUUUCGAGGGCAUAUACGCUAUUGUAACUGCAUCUCAUUAACCAAGGCACUGUUUGUGGUGCCUUUGAAAGCAGUUUCCAGCUGUUUGGUAUUCCAUGGUAGUGUGGCUGCACUGUUGGAACAAGCUAGUUCAAAGACAGAUGGAGAAGUCUGCACUAAUUUCAGCACAUAAUACUUCCUUUCUCCAGAUGGAAACAGCCUGACCCAAACCAAUUUGGAUUCAAAGAGCAGUGUGAAAUGCAUUCCUAGGGAAGCCACUGAAAUGGUAGAGCAGGUUUGAAACUCUUUUACUGAGGAGAUGACCCAGUCUAAAUGGAGGCAGAGGGAUGGCGACACUGCAGGUGCAGGACAUGUCCUGUAUGGUAUGUCCUUUUGGGGGAGUACGGUCUGAGUGCCUGGAUCAAUUUUUGUCCCAAACCUACAUUUCCCUUGUGGAAGGAAGGAAGGAAGGAAGGAAGGAAGGAAGGCAGGAAGGCAGGAAGGCAGGAAGGCAGGAAGGCAGGAAGGCAGGAAGGCAGGCAGGCAGGAAGGCAGGAAGGCAGGAAGGCAGGAAGGCAGGAAGGCAGGAAGGCAGGAAGGCAGGAAGGAAGGCAGGAAGGAAGGCAGGAAGGAAGGCAGGAAGGAAGGCAGGAAGGAAGGCAGGAAGGAAGGCAGGAAGGAAGGCAGGAAGGAAGGAAGGCAGGAAGGCAGGAAGGCAGGAAGGCAGGAAGGCAGGCAGGCAGGAAGGCAGGAAGGCAGGCAGGAAGGCAGGCAGGCAGGCAGGAAGGCAGGCAGGCAGGAAGGCAGGCAGGCAGGAAGGCAGGCAGGC
ensembl:lncRNA